rnacentral:rRNA from 1 species
GGCUACCGCUAUUGGAGUUCGAUUAAGCCAUGCGAGUCGCGAGUCUUAGGGACUCGGCGUACCGCUCAGUAACACGUGGGUAACCUGCCCUAUGCUGGGGGAUAACCUCGGGAAACUGAGAAUAAUACCCCAUAGUUCACCACGCCUGGAACGGUGGGUGGACCAAAGCUCCGGCGGCAUAGGAUGGGCCUGCGGCGUAUCGGGUUGUAGGGGGUGUAAUGUACCCUCUAGCCCUCUACGCGUACGGGUGUUGAGAGACAUCGCCCGGAGAUGGAUUCUGAGACACGAAUCCAGACCCUACGGGGUGCAGCAGGCGCGAAAACUUGGCAAUGCGAGAAAUCGUGACCAGGGAACUCCAAGUGCAUCGGGUAAGACCGAUGCUUUUCUUGACUCUUCAAAGGUCUUGGAAUAAGGGGUGGGUAAGGACGGUGCCAGCCGCCGCGGUAAUACCGGCGCCCCAAGUGGUAGUCGCUUUUAUUGGGCCUAAAACGUCCGUAGCCGGUCUGGUACAUUCGUGGGUAAAUCAACCAGCUCAACUGGUUGAAUUCUGCGAGCACGGCCAGACUUGGGACCGGGAGAGGUGUGGGGUACUCUCAGGGUAGGGGUAAAAUCCUGUCAUCCUGAGAGGACCACCUGUUGCGAAGGCGCCACACUAGAACGGAUCCGACGGUCAGGGACGAAGCCUAGGGGCACGAACCGGAUUAGAUACCCGGGUAGUCCUAGGUGUAAACGCUGUGGACUUGAUGUUGGGGGCGCUCCGAGCGCACUCAGUGUCGAAGCGAAGGUGAUAAGUCCACUGCCUGGGGAGUACGGUCGCAAGGCUGAAACUUAAAGGAAUUGGCGGGGGAGCACCGCAACCUGAGGAUUGUGCGGUUU